AGGUGUUUAGCUCAGCGGCAUAAGUGCCUGCCUUGAAAGCAGGCAGUCGUGAGUUCAAUCCCCAGUACCGA
rnacentral:tRNA from 1 species